CAAAUUAAAGUUUUAAUAGAAAAAUAUUUUAUUUACAUUAAAAAGUUGUUGUGCAAAUCAAUAUAAUUUGA
rnacentral:tRNA from 1 species